AAAUUUCCUCAGGUAGACCAAUUUAUGUUAAUUUGACUGACUUUGUUGGCAUCAUAACCAAUGAGUUACCAACGGUGUUUCCUAUAUAAUGGGUGGUUUUCCAUACAAAGAACGCAAACAUUAUUAGUUCCCAUAUCAUAUUGGAGAACUGUGUCGUCUAGCCUUUAAGAAUGAGUAUUGGCAAUUCUUGGCUACUAAUUUUAUGCAUGUUGAUCGUUGGCAUCCUACUUUCACAUGGUACUCACAUGAUAGUGGCCACUGAAGGUGUUUCUGGUUCUUCCUUUGAUGGAAUUCCUUCGCAUGACUUUCCAUCUAAGGUCAAUGUUGUGAUCAAUGACCCAAGACCUGACCCACUACCGCCUCUGCCACCUGCGGGCGGUGGUCCUAUUCAUCCUAUUAGUUCAAACUUACUGUCUUCACCACCAUAACCUUGUCACCACCUAUAUCAACUUAGGUCGUAAUUGUAACCUGUCUGAUGCCAAGCAAUAAGGAGCAUGUCAUUGUUUGCCUGACGUAUAUGGUCAUGUUGUGGAACUUUUAUUUUGAGUUUGGUUUUAUUUUUGGGCACAUAAAAGAAUGAACUUUUUUAUUCUAAGUUUGUAACUUUGAAGUCGUCGUUGAAGCAACUAGAGAAAACUUGUGCUGUUAACUUUGAAAUAUGAAAAGUAAUGUUAGCUUCAGUUGAUCUUGUUACUCUAUUGUUUCAAUAUAUUUUGUUGUACUUCCAUAGCAAAGAUUUCCUGCUUUUUUGGAUGACAAAAUUCUUUUUCUUUUUCCUUUUCCCUUUGGAGGGAGGAGAAAGGUCUAUAUACGUCUGACAAAGAAAUUAUGUACCAAAGUGUAAAAGAAGUCAAUAUUACAAAUUUAUUGAGAGAGGACUAUUUUAAAUAAAAUGCAGCGAUACAAGUAUACUACUUGAUAUAGCCGAUUGAUUCCACAUAGAUAAUGAGAGAAUACUUAAUUUUUGUUGUUCUAACUAGAGCUUUAAAUAAACAAAAGGAUUUUAAAUUAGACAAUUUUAAUUUGAGGAUUUAAACUUGCAAAAAGAGAAGGGAAAUAAGUAAUUGGCAAAUUGAUUUGUACCUCAGGUGACGGAAAUUAAAAUUAAUUCGGAAUUUAAAGAUGCUCAGAUGACUCAAAUCAUACCACCUUUGGACACUCUAUGGAUAUAUGGCCAAAGAAAGAAAAUAAGGGGAAAAAAAUACCCAUACGAAUAAAGAAUUGCUGCGUACAAGUGAUUUCUGGCCUUAUUUAAUUCCCCAAUCACAAUUUUCUAUCAUAUAUACAAAAUCAAGUAAAUUGUGGACAAAUAAGUAGGACAAGUUACCAUGAUUUAAUUUCCAUCCACAUUUCUUCUGUGGAUACUUUAUCAAAACCAAGGAAAAGAGAAUACCCAUCCAAAAUCAGUAGUGAAACAUCCAACUCUUAGAUCCAAAUACAAUAGAAAAGCUCAAACAUAAAAAAUAUAAUUAUAUUCAUUUUGAAUUAGUACAAGUAGGAGUUAAACCACUUACAAAAGUGGGACUGGAUACUUCUAUUCUUAUAACCCUUAAAGAUAAAAGACAUAUUUAUUUCAAUGACUCCUUAUUAAGAACAGUAGAAGUAUGUCUAUGUAGAGGAUCGAUACAUUUAAACUAUUUUUCCAAUUUUAUGGUGUUACUAAAAGAUAAGAAUAUCUUAAACUCUUUGACACUCAAAAUCCAAACACAUAAUUACAAAAUGAUGCCGGGAUCUAAACCACUGACCUUAGUUUAUAGGUUAUAUUAUAAGGCUAUGUAUUUAGUAAUCAACACUAAAGCUUUAAUCCAUAGUCCAAGAAGAGAAACUCCCAUGGAUUUGUUUUCUUGGGAAGGCGCCGAACAUCCUCAUAUAUCAUUUUUAACUGGCUUAUAAUCUGAAAAAAGGAAAAAUAAAAGAAAGAAGCUUGGAAAAUUCAAGGUAUAGGCUAUUGGGACCUGCCUGACUUUGUUGGCAACAUAACCAAGAAGUCAUGAAUAUGGCACUGCCUAUAUAAUGGGUUGUUCUCAUACAAUAAACGCACAGUUGCGUUGUUGCCCUUGCCAUAUCAUAUUUCAUUGUCUACCAGUAAGAAAUGGAUGCCAUUAAUUCUUGGCUGCUAAUUUCCAUGUUGAUCGUGGGCGUCCUGCUUUCACACAAUACUCGCUUAAUCGAGGCCACUGAAACUGUUCCCGAUUCUUCCUUUAACGAAAUUCCCCACCAUGGUUUUCCAUAUAAAUUGAAAUUUGUAUCCAAAAGGAUGACGUCACCACCGCCGCCUUCGCCAAAUUUAUAUCAUCACAUGAAAGCACCACCCUUGCCAGUGCGCAAGAGUCCACCUCGGUCUCCUCCACAGCAAUCCACCCCUUGAUUUAUUGCCAUCACCACCAUCAUAACUUGCUACCUUCUACUUAUGCCUUUCAACUAAUAAUAGACAUGUUUCUUCGCCUGCAUAGGUUUGCAUAGUCGAACCUCUUUCUUUCUUAUUUAUUUAUAUAUAUUUUUUUGAAUUGGAAGAGGGAAAUUUUUGAGUUCAUCGAACUAAUUUUGUAUAGUUGAACUCUUAUAUUGACUAUCAUCAUCAAAACAACGGUCAAUAUAACAAAAAAAAAAAAACAAUUUCAAUGCAAAUAUAAUUGUCUCCUUGACUUUAAAUUCUAACUAAGUCCUUCCCUUUACGUAAAAAUGAAAACAAUACAUGUGCUCGAGUGUGAAAUUAAAUUACUCGUGUUAACUAAUUUGGAAGUCUCCGUCAAGGUUUUCACACUACUUUUAAAACCUGGUUCGUGUAGACUACAGCAUCGGGGCUUGGCCAAGCCUCUGGUUAUUUCUUUCUACGUUAUUUGUAUAAUGUCUACUAUUUAAUUAGUUACUACUAGGUGCUUUGGUUCUACUAUUUAAUUAUGCCACAUCUAUAACAAUGAACAAGCACUACUAUUAAUUAGUUACUACUAGAAUUUAGCCCCCUGCUUUGCUAUCAAGAUUUUUAGUUCCUACUUUUAAAUUAUUAUGAUCCUAGAUUUUUAUUUCAUCCGAUAUUUCUAGUCUAACCAAAGAAAGUUGAUUGGAAAUUUCCUCAGGUUGACCAAUUUUAAUUUGACUGACUUUGUUGGCAUCAUAACCAAUGAGCUACCAAUGGCGUUUCCUAUAUAAUGGGUGGUUUCCAUACAAAGAAUGCAAACAUUAUUGGUUCCCAUAUUAUAUUGGAGAACUGUGUCGUCUAAGCGUUAAUAAGAAUGAAUAUUGGCAAUUCUUGGCUGCUAAUUUCAUGCAUGUUCAUCGUUGGCAUCCUACUUUCACAUGAUACUCACAUGAUAGCGGCGACUGAAGGUGUUUCUGGUUCUUCCUUUGAUGGAAUUCCUUCGCAUGACUUUCCAUCUAAGUUCAAUGUUAUGCCCAAGAGGAGAGCACUAAAGCCUGACCCACCACCGUCUCCGCCGCCUCGUUUUAAUCCUCCUCCUCACCAAAGAUUUCUGUCUGCACCACGAUCACCAUUGUCACCACCUAUUUCAACCUAGGUUGUAAUUCUAACCUGUCGAAGCCAAACUAUAAGGAACAUGUCAUUGUUUGCCUGAUGUAGAUGGUCAUGUUAUGGAACUUUUAUUUUGAGUUUGGUUUUCCUUUUUUUGGGCUCAUAUAAUAAUGAACUUUUUUAUUUUAAGUUUGUGACUUUGAAGUGGUCGUUGAAGCCACUAGAGAAAACUUGUGCUGUAACUUUGAAAACUUAAAAGUAAUGUCAGCUUCAGCUGAUCAUGUUGCUGUAUUGUUUCAAUAUAAUUUGUUGUCCUGCUAUAGCAAAGGUUUCCUGCUUUUUUGGAUGAUAAAAUUCUAGUAAGAAAAGAAAUAUAUUGUGAUGCAAUAUCACUUGUGAAAUUUUAGAUGAAUUAUGAGAUUAAUUCCAUCCUUAAUUGGGCAAUUUAUUUGUAUUUUUCUUUUAAAUUUGAGGGUUUAAAAAUGCACAUAGAUUGAGAAGCAUAAUGUAAAUAUUUUUUUCUCAAACAAAAUCCAUUAUAUUAAUUAAAUAACUAUUAAAAACCUCAUAGUUCAAAUCAUUGAACUAGUACAAUAAGUAUUCACCUAAAAGCACUUUAUGGAGCGUUGUCCAUAAAAUGGUGGACAAUAUAUAUUCUUCACUUAAUUUCAAGUAAUUAAUCUAGUUCAACACUCAACAGUAGUGAAAUCGAUCAUUAAAGUUUUUUAUGAAUUCUAAUGUAGGAAUAUAUAUAUAUAUAUAUAUAUAUAUAUAUAUAUAUAUAUACUAAAAUGAAACUAAACAUANAAUGUAGGAUAAUAUAUAUAUAUUAUAUAAUAUAUAUAUAUAUAAUUCUGCACUUAAUUUCAAGUAAUUAAUCUAGUUCAAAGCUCAAUAGUAGUGAAACCAAUCAUUAAAGUUUUCUUUGAAUUCUAAUGUAGAAAUAUAUAUAUAUAUAUAUAUAGAGAGAGAGAGAGAGAGAGAGUCUCCACUUAAUUUCAAGUAAUUAAUCUAGCUCAAUACUCAAUAGUUACUAAGUUUUUGGAUCCUUGUCUAAGAAAUUCAUGUGGUUAAUUUGUAGAAAAAUUAGAGAAUUGCCAUCGCUUUUGCCUCGUAGUAAUAUUUUACCCCAUGCACAUGAACAACUUGCAGAAAAGAUAGAUGUUGAAAUAAAAUUUAGAUGGAGAUUAAGUUUGGUGAAAUAAAUUAUAGUUCGAUUAUGGUGGUAUGCAUUCAUAAGAAAAAGCAUUCAAAUUAAGGUUUAUAUACGAUCAUAUUCCCUUUAACAUGGUUUGAAACAGGACACGUGUAUAAUUAAGAACCUCUAUUGAUAACUUUCAAAAAAACAAAAACCCUCUAUAUCUUCAAAAACAAAAAAGAAAAAGAAAAAAAGAAAACUUGGUAUCUUCCUCCUUUAGUGACUGCACUAUUGUUAGUCUGGCUGCAGGCUGCUAUUGCCGUUGGUUAGGGUGCCUACCAAUAUAAUAAUGUGUGGUAACUCAUAUCGGAGAAAGACAGUCUUAGGACUCCAUUUCAGUUGAUCCUAGCUAAGUAUCAAUAUAAAGUAGUCUCAAAAUCAACCACAUAAACAAAAAAAGACACAGGCUCCAGAAAAUGAAUCCCAAAUCUUGCCUGAUAAUUUUCUUGUUGAUCAUGAUUCAUGUCCUACUUUCCAUACAAGUUGUUUCUGGUUCUUCUUUUGCUUCAAUUCCUUCCCAUGAUUUUCCAUACAAGUUGUCCAAAAGAUUAAAAAUUGGCAAAUCACCACCGCCACCACCUAAGGGUAACAACCCCCCUCACAACGGUAAUGAUCCUUCUUAUGCUCCGAAUCCUCCUCCCAUAUCUCGUCGUCUGCCAACAGCGUAGGCUCAGUCGAUCAUCCUGUCCAAGGUCUCCACCACAAUCGAUAUUGCCAUCACCACAUUAAGCUUGCAACUUCAUAUACUGGAAAAGCUUAAGCGUGGGAAAUAUGGGCUUGUUAGUUGAAUGAUAUUUCUUAUAUAUUUGUGAGUCGUACCUAUACCAAAUGGAAUACUUAGGAAAACAUAAAACAUGUAACAACUGUGUCUUUAUUCUUCCCUUGCAAACUAAGCAGCGAAGUUGUUAUUCCGAUUUUACAUGGAAAUUAAGAUGAAUCUUUUAAUUUCGGUGCGUUUUAUAUCACAAUUUUUAAAUUUUUAUAUAAGUUUGAUAUUUUAUGUUUUUUGAUGAUAGCCAAACAGUUACAACUUCCUUCCUAGGACAAGUUGAUCAUGACAUAAUUAUGUGAUUAAUUGUUUUAUAAUCCAACUUACGCGUGCAUUCCAAAUCAAGAACUUAACCCAUUUUGAGAUUUACAAAAUCAAUUUGUUAAUCAUCACCUUGGAACUCUCUCUUUUAUAUAUAGAAAAUGUUGAGCUCCACAUGUUAUAAACACCUAUCCCCCAAAUAAAAAUUAACCAAAAAUAAAUAAAAUAAUAAAAAUUAAAAAAAGAAAAAAAAAAGAAAAAAGAGAGAUAACAGAGAAGGGAAACACUGAACUUUUGCUCGGCCUCCCUCUCUAGUCAAUUCAUUUCAGAGCUAUGGCCACCCUAGGGUUUUCUAAUCAUCACCCAAUGCAUAGGGCAUUUAAUGCCCCUUGCGGCAGUCGGGUUCGGGGGAGGGGGGUCAGCUCCGGCUUGAUUUCACCUAGAGUCUUGUGAAAGCAUGCUCAAAAGAGCAUGAUUUCACCUCUGAAUUGUCCAAAUUUUGGACAAUCAAGCUUUAAAACCUUUGGAACUCACACAUUAAAGGGGAACCGGAUUGCAAAAACAGAGGGGGGCGGAUCCAAAAACAAAAAAAAAAAUUCUUAUUUUUCAAACCAGAAACCAGUAAUAAAAAAAAAUCCUAAGUUCUAUCAACUGACUAUCCUAGCCACAAUACAAAAAACUAAAUCAAGAAAAUCACAAUAAAAAAACCAAAAAAGCACAGAAAAAUCGAGAGCCAAUCUUUAUUAAAAGAAAAGAUUUGGUAAAUGGGUUUUGUGGGGAAAAGAUUGUGGGAAUGAAAGGGAGGUCCGGCUAGUGUUAGAGGGAGAGGAGGUUGGUGUUUUUGGUGAGGGUCAAGUCGAAAUCAAGAGAGGAGAGGGGCGGUUGACUGAGCGACGGCGGUGAGGGAGACCGACAAUGAUUGAAGUUUAAGUGAGAGAAAGGGAAGGCUGAAGAUUUUAGAGAGAAGGGAGAGAGUCGUCGGAUAAGAAAGAGAGAGAGAGAGAGGAGGAAGGGAAGAAUCGAGUAGAGAGAAGGGGAGGGAAACGGCGGUGGAGAGAGAAAGUGAAGAGGCAAAAUGAGAGAAGAGAGAAAAACAAAGUAGCUUAUAGACCUAGGUAUAUAGGGGACAAAACGGCACCGUUUGCUCAGUGGAUAACUGAAGGGCAGGCUUGUGUUAAACGACGCCAUGUUGGGAGCAUUCUGGGGCAGCUGUGCAAAGCACCAAACGCUGCGUUUUGACUGUGGAGAAGCGAGCUGUGGAGCAAGCCGGUUUUCUUGGACCGCCUCUUGCCCAAGGAAGGUAAACUCAUUUCUUUUGUAGGCUUGGUCCAAUUUUGUUGCAUUUACUUGGUCUAAAUAUUUGAUGGGAAAAUAUAUUCAUUUUGAUAUGUGAGUAAUUAAAAUAAAAAGGGUAAAUAUAUAUAUAUAUAUAUAUAUAUAUAUAUAUAUAUAUAUAUAUAUAUAUAUAUAUAUAUAUAUAUAUAUAUAUAUAUAUAUAUAUAUAUAUAUANNNNNNNNNNNNNNNNNNNNNNNNNNNNNNNNNNNNNNNNNNNNNNNNNNNNNNNNNNNNNNNNNNNNNNNNNNNNNNNNNNNNNNNNNNNNNNNNNNNNNNNNNNUAUAUAUAUAUAUUAUAAUAUCAAUUGUUAAGGUAAAAAUAUAAAGAAAAAAAGAAGAGCAAAAAAUCAUGAAUAAAGAGACAGAUAAAUAUUUAAUAAUAAGGUAAUAGGUUUAGAAUAUAAGUAUAUGGGCAAAGAUGAAUGUCUAACUAAAAAUAGUAAUAAAUAAUAAUAGAUCUAGGGUAAAAAUACAAAUAUAUAGGAUAAAAAUAAUAAUAAUAAAUGAGUGAAUAAACACUUAGCAGUAAAAAUGUAGAAACUAAGUAAAUAAAAUAACAUUUAGUUAUGAAAAUUAAUCUAGCUAAAAAAAAUGUAUACACAAGAAUGUAAAAACAUACGUAUGUCUUGCCAUAAGAAAAAUAGAUUGAAGAAAGAUGUAAAAAUAAUAUUAAAAUAGAUAAUUAUAUAAAAGUGAGCUCCCAAAAAAAAGGAUAGAUUAAAUGUAAAGGACAAGUCAUGUAUGUAAAUAGAAAUGAAACAUUUAAUUAUACAAGUUCAUAUUCAUAUAGGUAUAUAUAUAUAAAAGGAUGGGACUUAGCAUGAAAUUAUUAAAUAUAAAAAUAUGUGAAGAGAUUAUCAAAUCACACCGGUGAUGGGAUGUCCAUUUGGAAUGCGAAAAGUUGCAAUUCUCGAUGAAUUUCUCUAAAUAAAGGAUUUUGUCUAAGAUCUCACCAGUACAAUAGGAAGGUCUUAAUUGUAAAUCCUGAUAUUUCUAAUCCCAAAUAAAUAAAAAUACAUAUUAACAUAAUUGCUAAUCGAACAAAAUAUAAAAACAAAAGAAGAAAUGAAAUAAUGAAAUGAUGAUAACAAUAAAUAUGGUAAUAGUAAUAACAAAUACACAAAAAGGGAUGGAUAAAAUAUAUACAUGAAGAUAUAAAAGAAUAUAGGAUUAUAUAAGACAAUGAGAUUCAAGAUGAUAAAUAACUAACAAAUAAUCAAAAUUCAAAGAUUAACAAUAAAGUCACCGUAGUGAUGAAUAUGGCUAAAAUAUAAAGGCAAAUAAAUAUAAUCAUAAAAAAAUAAAUUUAUAAAAAGGUAGAAGAAAAUCAUGGUUAGUCAAAAAGAAGAUAGGUUAGGUUAUUGAGAAAGAAGUUCGGUACAAUAUAUAUAUAUAUAUAUAUAUAUAUAUGCAUAAAUUAUAAUAAAUAUGAAACAAAAUAUUUGAUUUAAAAAUAUGAUUUUUAGGGAAGUUUAUGUAGUAAGAUAAAUAAGUGUUCACAUAGUAAAAUACAUAACGAAAUAAAAAUGAUUAUAUGGAAACAAUAAGUUUGUUCAUGGUAUAUACGCUCACCGAGAGAAAUAAUAAAAUUUUUAAAGAUAAGAAACAAAUAUUAGAAUUUAUGAAUGCAUAACGUAUUAUUGUUGUAUUGUUAAAUGUCAUGGCAUAUAAACAUAUUCUGUAUAAAAGUAUAAGUCCCGAUGAUAGGACUUUUCGAGAAAAUUAGAGAAUGCGAGUUUCUUCGAAAAAUUUCUUAGGUGAAAAGAUACCUCCGAAUCCCACAAGUAUGAUGAGAGGGCUUAGAGAAUAUUUUUAAUAAAAGACCUCCACUCGUAAUAGGUUUGCAUUCAUGGAAAAUAUUUUUUUUACCUGCAAACAAUUAAUCCAAUGAUGGGAUUUACUCGUUAAACUUGUGAAAGUGAGUUUUUCGAGUAUUUUUCUAUGUAAGAGAAUAUCCUUGAAUCCCACUAGUAUGAUGGAUGAAUUCAGGAAGUACACUCAAUAAAAGGUUUUCGUUUGGCAUUUUCUUGAUUUUAUGCCACACAUUUCAUAAUUGUAUCAUGUGUACGUUAUACCUGUAAAAUCAAAUAAAAUAUUUUAAUUUAUUUGAAAAUAAAAUAAAUAAAUAUUAAUUAAGAAAACAUAAGAAUAAAAUCAAUGGGUUAGGAUAACAUACGAUUAAAUGGAACCGUUCGUAGAACAAGCGUCAUAGAAGUGUUAAUCAUUCUUUAUGCGUAACUGUACUCCCGAACCAAACUCUAAACAAAAAUACACAAACCAGUUGUUGUUCUCUAGACGGACUUAAAAUCGAUUUAGAACUCCAUCGAAUAAAACUCCAUCGAAUAGAACAAAUUUAAUAAGUGGUCAAUCGUACUUAAGUAAAAAAAAAAAUUGACGGCAACUCUCAACAUAUUCACGUUUAACGGUCAGGUUUCCGAAUCUACACGUUAUAAUAGGUACAUUAAUGGGUUCAUUUUUUGACAAAAAAAACCUUAGGAAAUUUUAGAAUUCUACCCCGAAACCACGAUGUCUAAAUUCAAAGGAGUAUGCAUGUAACCUCACACAAAUUGUAAAAGGGUUUCUCAUAAACUGGGCACACCCUCAAUUUUUACCUGAGAACCUUGUACACAGCAGCAACAGUUAAUCAGUCGAAGUCAGCCCUCAGGCUUUACCUAAAAGUAACAGCUAUACACCAGACCAAGCAUGGUCCCAGAAAACGGUGCAAAAGUAUAUAAACAGAACAAGCAAAAAGAGCACCCUGCGUGAAAAAAUAGAGAGACGCUCCAGAUUUCAUCAAUUAGCCUCAGCACACAAUAAAACUUGUGUUGGGAAAUUGCGGAAUUGUUUCUAAAGAAUUGCCCAAGAUCUACCCAAUCAAUAGAAUAAAGAAAAAAAAAAAUCAAGCACACCCACAAAAACACAAGAAUUUACGUGGUUCGGCCUUUUGAUGACCUACGUCCACGAGUACAGCAACAGAGAAAAAUUCACUAAAAGAAAAAUCAGGAGAUUACAAGAACAGUCUCAAACUCAUAACCCUUAUCCCACGUAUACCUAAAUCACUCUCUCUAAAUCUAGGUUAUUAUUAUUUUUUAACCCAUAGGGUCCUUUUAUAGUAUAAAAUACAAUAACCUUAUCCUAAUAUAAUUAGGAAUCUUAUCCUAAUAGAAUUAGAAAUUGUUAUUCUAAUCUAACUAGAUUUAAAGACUAUUUAUAAGGUAUACUAAUUUAAUUAGAAUUAAACAAUCCUAAUUAAAUCACAAUUCAAGACUAUCCUAACAAUUAUCCACCUUAGGCUUGAAUUCACCAAGCUCCACCUUACGAACCAAUCUCUGUCGACACCGCCACUGCCCCAAUGGGCCUCAAGCACUACGAACACCGAUCAAGUCCAAGCAAUGCUUGAACUUUAUCCCAGAAACUGACUUAGUUAGCAUAUCUGCCGGAUUUUCAUCUGUAGCUAUUUUCUUUACUACAAUCUCACCUUUAGAAAUAAUCUCUCGAACGAAGUUACACUUGACUUGGAUGUGUUUGGUUCUCUCAUGAAACAUCUGAUUUUUAGUCAAAUGUAUAGCACUUUGACUAUCACAAAACACAACUGUUUGUGUUUGUUCAAAACCAAGAUCACUAACCAAGCCUUUAAGCCACAAAGCCUCCUUCACUGCCUCGGUCACAGCCAUAUAUUCAGCUUCAGUUGUAGACAAAGCAAAGGUUGAUUGAAGAACUGCUUUCCAACUGAUUGCAGAUCCUGAGAGAGUGAACACAUACCCCGUUUGAGAUCUUCUACUAUCUAGAUCACCAGCAAAAUCUGAUUUGGAGAAGCCAACCACAUUACGACUAAUGUUUGCACCUCCUUCACACACUAAGCCAACUUCAAUAGUAACUUUAGGUGUUUUCACAAGCUCCCAUGUUUGAUCCCAGUGUAGAGACUCAAUCUUCUUAGAAGACUCGACAUAUAUAAUUUUCUCAUGAUAAAAGUAAGGCUCUUCAAUCUCUACUUCCACAAAUAAAACAUAAGAAUCAAAAUCACCAUCAAUACAAGUAAUGCUUCGUUGAGAUACCAAUUCUUGUACCUCUUGCAAUUCUUUCUGGAUUUCACUAUCAUCUCGCACUGUCACAAGAGCAUUGAUUUCAAGCUCCACCUGCUUGCCAACUUCUUGGUCUGAUGUGUUUGCAAUUCUAGACUUUAUCCCACAAAGUAAUGCAGACUUGUCAAAGGUAACAUCCCGACUCACCAUAAACUUGGGGAACUUACAAUCAGUACACCACAACCAAUAACCCUUCACCCCAUAUGCAUAGCCUAGGAAUAUGCACUCUGUCGCCCUCAACUCAAGUUUACCAUCACUCACAUGAACAUGAACAGGACAACCAAAUACUCUCAAUAUAAAAUAAUCAGCAGGCUUACCAGACCAAACUUCCUUGGGAGUCUUAAAUUCAAUUGCAGUUGAUGGAGACCGAUUUACCAAGUAACAAGCCUUGUUGAUAGCUUCUGUCCAAAAUACUUUGGUUAGGCCAACAUUUGAGAACACGUAUUUUGCUCUCUCCAAAAGUGUUUUCUUCAUCAAUUCUACAAUAUCGUUUUGAUAUGGUGUUUUGUCGACAGUGCGAUGUCUAACGAUUUUCUCAUUCUUGUAGAAUAGACCAAACUCACCUUUGCAAAAUUUCAAACCUUUGUUUGUUCGAAAGCUCUCGAUCCUUUUCUUAGUCUGCUUCUCGAUCAAUACCUUCCAAUGCAAAAAGGUGGUUAACACUUCACUCAUAGCCUUUAGAAGAUACGUCCACACCUUUCUUGAAAAAUCAUCAAUAAAGAUCCACAUGUAUAAUGAUCCACCUUUUGAUACCACCGGAGAAGGAUCCCACAAAUCUAAAUAGAUGUAGUUUACUGUACCCCUGGUUUGAUGAGUUUUAGUGCUAAAUUUCACUCUACGUUGCUCACAGAAAUCUAGCUUUCCACUCUUUUGACCACACAGCAAACUAUGCUUACUUAGUUUUCUAAUCCCUCUCUCGCUCAUAUGACCAAAUCUCAUAUUCCAUAAACGUGUUACAUCAUCUUCAGGAUCAUUAGAUGAGACCACAGAAACAGUUUCAAUGACCGUGUUUCCCACUAGACAAUAAAGGUCACCGGAUAACUUGCCCUUCAUGAUAGUUAAGGCUCCUUUAGAUACAUUCAAGACACCAUCUUGGCCACUAUAUUUGUAGCCCUUCUUAUCUAACAAACUCAAGGAUAUUAAAUUCUUUUUCAUGUCAGGGACAUGUUUUACCUCAAGUGUUCUUACCAUACCAUCAAACAUCUUGAUUCUAAUUGUGCCAAUUCCAACAACUGAGAGAGAGAAAUCAUCUCCUAAUUGUACAGUGCCCAUAUUAACAGAUUGAUAAGUUGUAAACCAAUCACGCCUAGGACAUAUAUGAAAGCAACAAGCCGAAUCCAAGAUCCAUGUAUCCAUCAGGUUACAAUUAGUAAUUGCAAGAACAUUAUCAGUUUCCUCAAAAGUAUCAAAGUCAUCUCCAACCACGUUUGCAGUAUUCUCAGACUUAUUAAACUUUUCAUCAUCCUUGAAUUUGAUACAGUCUUGACGAAAAUGCCCUUUCUGACCACAAUUCCAGCAAGUUUUCCCUUUUGCUCUAGAUUUACCUUUUCUGUCUAAGCCUUUCUCUUUACCUCUACCUCUAUUUACAACCAAACCUUCUGCUUGAUUUUCAUUCCGAAUACCACCAACUUUCUUCUUUAAUUCCUUGGAAUUUAAAGAUGCCCUUACAUCCUCGAAAGUGAGAGUGUCUCGGCCGUAAAGCAUAGUAUCCACGAAAUUUUCAUACGAUGGAGGCAAAGAACAUAAAAGAAUUAGGGCUAGGUCCUCAUCCUCAAUUUUAACAUCGAUAUUCUUUAAAUCAAGAAUAACUCUAUUAAAUUCAUCAAUGUGGGUAUUAACGGACGUACCUUCACUCAUCUUGAGAGUAUACAAUCGUUGCUUCAUAUAAAGCCGAUUCGUCAGGGACUUGGUCAUAUAAAUACUUUCGAGUUUAAACCACACUGCAGCAGCAGAUUCUUCAUCCGUGACUUCUCUUAGCACCUCAUCAGACAAAGCAAGGAGAAUAGCACUAUGUGCUUUUUCCAUAAGGUCAUCUUUCUCACCAUUAGAUAAAUUCGAGGGAAGAUGCUAUUUUCCCUUCAGUGCCUUCAACAGUCCUUGUUGCACUAGCAAUGCGCGCAUCUUAACACGCCACAGGCUGAAAUCGUUUCUUUCAUUAAACUUUUCAAUCUCAUACUUGGUGGACGAAGUUGCCAUAGCGAGAUUCAGAUGGAUCCAAGACCUUGAAGCUCUGAUACCAGUUUGUUGGAAAAUUACGGAAUUAUCUCUAAAGAAUUGCCCACGAUCUAACCCAAUCAAUAAAUAAAGAAAGAAAGAAAUCAAGCACACCCACAAGAACACAAGAAUUUACGUGGUUCGGUCUUUUGAUGACCUACGUCCACGGGCACAACAACAGAGAAAAAUUCACUAAGAGAAAAAUCAGGAAAUUACAAGAACAGUCUCAAACUCAUAACCCUUAUCCAACGUACACCUAAAUCACUCUCUCUAAAUCUAGGUGAUUAUUAUUCUUUAACCCAUAGGGUCCUUUUAUAGUAUAAAAUACAAUAACCUUAUCCUAAAAUAAUUAAGAAUUAUUAUUCUAAUCUAACUAGAUUUAAAGACUAUUUUGUAAAGUAUACUAAUUUAAUUAGAAUUAAAAAAUCCUAAUUAAAUAACAAUUCAAAACUAUCCUAACAACUUGUGUGUCCAGGGGAAGGGGCCUUGGCUCUAUACCGUAUCAGAAAAUAGGUAGCCAAUUGACUCACUCUCCUUCCUACAUAGGAGGAAGUAAGCGGGUUUUCACACUACUUUUAAAACCUGGUUCGAGCAAAUUACACCAUCGGGGCUUGGCCAAGCCUCAGGCGCCUAGUAUGUCAUUUCACCAGUAUGUAGGUGCUUUGCUUUUACUCUUUAAUUAGUUAUUAACAGAAUUCAGCCUCAUGCUUCGCUACCAAGACUUUUAGUUCUUGCUUUUAAAUUAUUAUGAUAUAAGAUUUUAAUUGUCAAAUUUAUGAGAUAAUAGUAAUAUAUACUACGUCUACAUUCGUUUAUGUGAUCAAGUUAGAUUAUUAAGAGUUAUUUUUAUUUGCUAACUUCUAAAUUUCAUUAGUGGAAUAAAAGGACCUUUUUAUAAUGCAGACAUGAAAUAGGCCGAAGCUAUUGAUUGGCCAACUGCCCAGCCCCUUUGUCUAAGCAUUGAACUGGGCUUGUGACUAGAGGUAGGAAAUGGUGACCAAACUUCAAUGACUUGCUUGAAGUAAUCAAUGUCUCGAUUUGAAAUAAUCCAAAUCCAGAUUUGAACCUUGAUUACUUAUUAUCUUUAGAGCCAAUGACUUAGUUGAUGACUUUACAAAAGCUGAUGUUAAGUGUAACUAAGAUAUUAUAUUGAUAUUUAGUUAGUUUGAGGUGGCAUUGAAUGCUUUUUUGAUUUGUAAUGAAAUGAUAUUGUUUGGUACUUAUUUAUUUUUUUAAUGAAAUGUUUUUUGUUUUUCAACAGCAAAUUAAGUGGUAGACUCCAAUCUAAAUCUGAACAACUUAAAUAACGUGUGAAUUUGUGUCUAGAGAGGUAUGAAAAGAUGAAGCAAACCCAAAUGACUUACUCAACCAACGUUUGAAUAGUCUAGUAAACCAAUGAUCCAAGUUCAAACUUAGAGUUCGAUUAUUAUCUUUAAUAGAGUAAAUUAAAGUAGCAUACUGCUAGGAAAAUAUGCAAAUCCAAAUUCACAUAUGCUCAUGUACCUUUAAAAUGACGUUUAAGAAAUUAGUAAAGAAAUCGAUGUUGUUAGAGAAGGCGCUAUUGGAAUAUCUUUUCUUAAAAUUUGAAUAUUGCAAGUUGGUUACUUCGUUAAUGAUUAUGAUUUAUGCUUUUAGUUUAUAGGUGUUAAGUUUGAAUGUUAGAAAGUAUGUAUUAAAAUUUAUGAGAUGGGAGAAAAAUGGUGUUUAUCUAAAAUUUAAAAAGUAUAUAUGAUUUAAAACAAAGACCAAAACGAUAAUUAUUGAUGUCAAAAUCAGAAUGGAAAACAUACUAUUCUUUUCUCUGACCUCGCUACUUCUUAAUUCAUCGCAAAUACUGGUAUCAUUUUCAUCCGAAUAUUUCUAGUCUAACUAAAGAAAGUUGAUUGGAAAUUUCCUCAGGUAGACCAAAUGUUAAUUUGACUGACUUUGGUGGCAUCGUAACCAAUGAGCUACCAAUGGCGUUUCCUAUAUAUUGGGUGGUUUCCAUGCAAAGAAUGCAAACAUUACUAGUUCCCAUGUCAUAUUGGAGAACAGUGUUGUCUAGGCAUUCAGAAUGAAUAUUGGCAAUUCUUGGCUGCUAAUUUCAUGCAUGUUGAUCAUUGGCAUCCUACUUUCACAUGAUGCUCAUAUGAUAGGGGCGACUGAAGGUGUUUCUGGUUCUUCCUUUGGUGGAAUUCCUUCACAUGACUUUCCAUCUAAGUUCAAUGUUGUGUCCAAAAAGAGUGCCCGAAGGCCUGACCCACCACGGCCUCCGCCGCCUAGGCGUGCUCCUCCUAUUCAGCCAAGAAUAUUGUCUCCACCACCAUCACCUUUGUCACCACCGAUUUCAACUUAGGUUGUAAUUGCAACCUGUCGAUGCCAAACAAUAAGGAACAAGUCAUUGUUGGCCCUACGUUUUCAAGAUAAUGAACUUUUUUAUUUUAAGUUCGUAACUUUGAAGUGGUCGUUGAAGUCACUAGAGAACUUGUGCUGUAACUUGUAAAAAUUAGAAGUAAUGUCAGCUUCAGCUGAUCUUGUUGCUGUAUUGCUUCAAUAUAAUUUGUUGUCGUUCAAUAACAAAGGUUUCCUGCUUUUUUUGGAUGAUAAAAUUCUAGUUAGAAAAGAAAUAUGUGAUGAUUCGUAUCACUUAUGAAAUUUUAGAUGAAUUAUGCGAUUCCAUCCUUAAUUGGGCAAUUUAUUUGAAAUUUUCUUUUAAAUUUGAGCCUUUAAAAAUGCGCAUAGAUUGAGAAGCAUAAUGUACAUAAUUAAUCAUGUCAAUGCAAAUAUAUUUGUCUCCUUGACUUUAAAUCCUAAGUCCAUCCCUUUACGUAAAAAUGAAAACGAUACAUGUGCUCAAUUGUGAAAGAUUAUGCUACAUCUAUAAAAAAUACUACUGUUAAUUAGUUACUACUAGAAUUUAGCCCCCUGCUUAGCUACCAAGAUUUUGAGUUCUUACUUUUAAAUUAUUAUAAUCUAAGAUUUUAAUUGUCAAAUUUUUUAGAUUAUAGUAAUAUACACUACGUCUGCAUUCGUUUAUGUGAUCAAGUUAGCUAAUUAAAUGUUAUUUUCAUUUUCUAACUUCUAAAUUUCAUUAGUGGAAUAAAAACACCUUUUAUAAAUACAGACAUGCAAUUGCGCGAACCUUUUGAUGGCCCAAUUUCCCAACCCCUUUGUUUAAGCAUUGGACUGGGCUUGUGACCAGAGGUUGGAAAUGAUGACCAAACUUCAAUGACUUGCUUGAAGUAAUCAAUGUCUCGAAUUGAAACAAUGCUAAUGCAUAUUUGAACCUUGAUUACUAAUUAUCUUCGACGAAUUAAGUGGUAAAUUCAUAUUUUGCGUAUUGAAUCUUUAAAUAUUCAAUUGGGAAAGUAACAAACUCAUCAUAUUCUUCCGAGUCAAUGAAUUGGUUGAUGACUUUACAAAAGCUGGUGUCAAGUGUAAUUAAUAUAUGGCUUUUUUUUUAAAAAAAAAGUGUAAUUAAGAUAUGUUAUUGAUGUUUAGUUAAUUUGAGAUGACGUUGAACGUGUUUUUUAUUUGUAAUGGAGUGAUCUUAUUUUGUACUUUUAAUGGAAUGAUUUAUUAUUUUCAAAAAAUGAAAAUAAUAGAUUAAGUGGUAAACUCCAAUCACUACAAAAAUUUUGGCUAUUUCCAACAAAAAUUUCCGUUGGAAAUAGGCCAUUUUCUGUUGGAAAUGUUUAUUUUCAACGGAUUUUCAACGGAAAAAUUCAUUGAAAAUUUCGUCGGUACAAGCCUUGUGGAUUAUACUUUUCGUUGAAAAUCCGUUAAAAAUUUCCAAUAAAAAUUUCGUUAAAAUUUUGAAUUUUUACCCCUUUUUUUUAGAAAUCCAUUGGAAAUUUUCAACGAAAUUUUCGUUGGAAAAGGAAAUUCCAACGGAAAAUUUCGUUGGAAAGCAUAUUUCCAAUGGAUUUUUCCAACAGAAUUUUCGUUGGAAAUUCUAUUUCCAACGGAAUUUUCCGUUGGUAAUAUUUUGACCUAUUAUUUUUAUAAUAAAUUUAAAAAAAAAUUACCAUUUUUGUUUCCGAUACUAAAUUUAAUUCUACAUUCAACUGUAAAAAAUAUAAAAGAAAAGCACAUUACAAAUUUGAGAUUCAAGUCCUAACAUGUAAUUAGAAAUUAUCCUUAACACACAAUAUAUAAUAUAGUUUAAUACAUAUGACUAUUAAACAUAACAUCCUUAAAAAGUAUCCAAGUGUUUGCUCUGAAAAUUAUAUUAAAAAAUUAAAAAAUUAAAAAAUCUUCUUCAUACAAUUUCUCAGUGUAUACCUGAAUCCAUAUACAUAUACAAUAAUAUUUCUCUACGUAUUUCAUAAAAUUAACUACACAUUAAAUUUUCUUCCACAAAAAUAUUAAAAUUUAAAUUUAAAUUAUAAAAAACAAAUAUCUUAAACUUAAAAUUAAAUAACUAAAAACAAAUAUAUGGGGAACAGACAACAACAUUAUCACCAAAAAUCAAGUCUGAAAGUACUAAUUGCAAUAUGGGGUAAUGGAAAACUCUCUCGCAAACUAAUAACAACAUCGACAUUGGCAUGUUCCAUUAAUUCUUAGGAUAUCAUUUUUUAGUACCAUAUAAUACUAAUAUCAUUAAGAUAUUAACAGACAACAAUAGUAACACAUCAACUCCAAAAAACUGUCUGAAGCAGUCAAUAAACUAGUAUCAUUUUGCAGUAAUAGACAGCGCUAAUUGAAGAAUCAAAUCUUGUUUGCAUAACAAUUAUUAAGAAUGAACCUAGUUUAACAAAAUCCUAUACCAAAAUCUCAGUUGGGGAAUAACAAUGGCGUGGGGCUUGGGGCGACACAGAGGCAGCUGGCAGGGAGUGGCUAUGGCUGGGCGGUUGGGGAGAAAAGACAGAUGAACUAAUGAAGGAGUCGAGCGUGGCGUGGUAGGUCGGCAGCUAGGGAAGAACAAGGGCGUGGAGCUUGGGGAGACACCCACGCAGCCAGCAGACCCUAACUGUGGCUGGGCUGUUGGAGAGAAAAGGCUGAUCAACCGAUGAAGGACCCGAGCUUGGCGUAUUAGGCCGGUAGGUAGUUGUAGACACCAUAUUUUUGGUGUUAAAAAAAAUUAAUAAUAAUAAUACUUAACUAAUAAAAAAAUUCAAUAAAAAAAAGUACUGGCAAGGCGCGGACGCCCUGCCAGUACCAAUAUCACCAUUACAAUGCCAGAUGCAAAAAAUUCGCAUCUGGCAGAGUAGUGGAACGAAGCCUCGUAGAGACCACAACCAAAAAUAUCCUUGCACUGUAGCACAGGGGAUCUAGGGGCCAAAAACUGAAUCAAAAAAAUUCCUAAGAAUCCCUAGCAACCCAAAAACACAGAAAGCCAAAAUCAAAUCCCUAGUCUAGCAACCAAAAACCUCAAUCCACAGACCAAAAAAUACUAAACAAUACCAAAAAAAAAGAAUCACAAAAAUAUAUACAUAGAGAAAGAGAGCUUUGGGUGAAGGGCUACCAACCGUCGGUUGGAGUUUAGGGAGUUUGGGGUUUGUGCCGUUGCUUAAAAAGGGGUAAAGAGCCUCGGGUUGUAUGUGCUGCCGUUUUAGAGAGAGGGUUGGGGCUUCGGGCUUGCCGCUGGAGAAAGGAAGAAGCGAGAGAGAGAAGAUUUGGGUUCCUGUGCCGCUUGUUCUAGAAAGAGCUGGGGCUUCGGGCUUGUGUUGCCGAUUGGAAAAGGAAAGAGUUGAGAGAGAGAGCUGCGGGUCACUUGUUGCUGGGGUUGGGGAAGAACACCAGAUGAAGGACUCGGUUGAAGGAGGCAAGGAGCGGCACCCGAUUAGAAGAGAAGAAAGAAAGGAAAAAGAAAGGUCGGGGGGUGGGUUGGGUUUUGAUUUUUUAUUCAUUUUUUAAUUUUUUUUAACAACAAUUACUAUUUCAUAAACAUUUAACAUUUGGAUUAAUGUGCAAAAAACACAUUUUGCUAUAUAAAUUUUAUAAGUAUUAAAAUUAUCAUUUUCAUAAUAUUAAUAUAAAAUAAAAAAUAAAUAUAUAUUAAAAGUAUUAUAGUGUAUAUNNNNNNNNNNNNNNNNNNNNNNNNNNNNNNNNNNNNNNNNNNNNNNNNNNNNNNNNNNNNNNNNNNNNNNNNNNNNNNNNNNNNNNNNNNNNNNNNNNNNNNNNNNNNNNNNNNNNNNNNNNNNNNNNNNNNNNNNNNNNNNNNNNNNNNNNNNNNNNNNNNNNNNNNNNNNNNNNNNNNNNNNNNNNNNNNNNNNNNNNNNNNNNNNNNNNNNNNNNNNNNNNNNNNNNNNNNNNNNNNNNNNNNNNNNNNNNNNNNNNNNNNNNNNNNNNNNNNNNNNNNNNNNNNNNNNNNNNNNNNNNNNNNNNNNNNNNNNNNNNNNNNNNNNNNNNNNNNNNNNNNNNNNNNNNNNNNNNNNNNNNNNNNNNNNNNNNNNNNNNNNNNNNNNNNNNNNNNNNNNNNNNNNNNNNNNNNNNNNNNNNNNNNNNNNNNNNNNNNNNNNNNNNNNNNNNNNNNNNNNNNNNNNNNNNNNNNNNNNNNNNNNNNNNNNNNNNNNNNNNNNNNNNNNNNNNNNNNNNNNNNNNNNNNNNNNNNNNNNNNNNNNNNNNNNNNNNNNNNNNNNNNNNNNNNNNNNNNNNNNNNNNNNNNNNNNNNNNNNNNNNNNNNNNNNNNNNNNNNNNNNNNNNNNNNNNNNNNNNNNNNNNNNNNNNNNNNNNNNNNNNNNNNNNNNNNNNNNNNNNNNNNNNNNNNNNNNNNNNNNNNNNNNNNNNNNNNNNNNNNNNNNNNNNNNNNNNNNNNNNNNNNNNNNNNNNNNNNNNNNNNNNNNNNNNNNNNNNNNNNNAAUCUUUAUUUAAUAUAUCUCAUUAUAUAUAUAUAUAAUAUAUAUAUAUAUAUAUAUAUUCAGUUAUAAAGAUAUUUCAAUUAAAAAAUAUAAAUUGUACUUUAAUUUUAAUACAAUUAUUUAUCGAUUUUUUUCUUAAAUCAUACUUGUUUAUCUAUAUAUAUAUAUAUAUAUAUAUAGUAUAUAUAUAUAUAAUAUAAUAUAAUAUUUUUUAAUAGCUCUCGAUCAGAUUUGCAUGAAUACAUAGAUAUAAUAAAAUGAUAUUUUUUUAAGCACAAAUAUUAAUAAUUUUAUUAUAAAACUUCAAUCUUAAUUUACAUAUAUUAGCUAAUUACAAUUAAAACGUAAAUAAAGUAAUAUAUAUUUUUUAAUAUGAUUUUAAUAUCUUAUCAUGGUUUUUUAUAAAAUAUAAAUUUUACAUAGUAAUUUUUUUCAAUUUUGGAAUAAUAUAACAUUUCCCUAAUUUGGUAUUAUUAAUCAAUAUUGUAUAAUUCAUUAAAGUUAAAAAAAUUAUACAAAAUUACUCAAAGGAAAACAAUAUUAAAUAGAGCCCAAAAUUUUACUUCAAUAACUAUGUAUUUGCUUUUAGUAAUAUCUAAUUCUUUAAAAAUAAUAAAUAAAAAUUUUAAAAAUUUUAAAUUUUAUAAUUUUUUAAAAUUAUGAUUAUUUCCAAUGAAAUUUUUCAACGGAAAAUUCCGUUGGAAAGUUUAAAAAGUCAUUAACACUUUGAUGCACUAAAAAGUUACUUUCUAACGAAAAAUUUCGUUGAAAAUUCCGUUGGAAAGUUACAUUUUUCAAUAUAUCAUUGACUCUUUAUAUGUUCCAACGAAUUUUCAACGGAAAAUUUCGUUAAAAAUUCUAUUGAAAACUGUAAAAGAUUGAACAUUUUUUUUAAAGUUUAAUGUUCCAACAGAACUUUUCGUUAGAAAUUUCGUUAUAAAAAUUCCGUUGGAAAAGAUAAAGAUAACAUAGAAAAAGUUUAGGGUUCCAACGGAAAUUUCUGUUGGAAAUCCGUUGGAAAUAAUACAGUGUCCUGAAGAUGAAAUUUCCAACGGAUUUCCAAUGGAAAUUUUCGUUGGAAACUGUAAAGAUUACACACUUUUUUUUUUUAGUUUAAAGUUCCAAUGGAUUUCCAACUGAAACUUCCGUUGGAAAUAUUAAACAGUAAUAUGUGUGUGUUGUACAAGUCAAAUUUUCAACGAAAAAUUUCGUUGAAAAAUUUUCAGUAUAAAUCCGUUGAAAAUCAAUCGGAACAAGCAUUUAAAAAUUUUAAUUAAACUCCGUUGAAAAUCCGUUGCAAAUCCGUUGCAAAUCUGUUGGAAAUACAAUGAUUUUUUGUAGUGAAUCCAAAACUGAACAAUGUGUGAACUUGUGUCUACAGAGGUAGGAAAAGAUGAGGCAUACCCAAAUGACUAACUCAACCGACAUUUGCAUAGUCUAGUAAAUCAAUGAUCCAAGUUCAAACUUAAAGGUACGAUUUUUUAGUUUAUGAAAAGCUCGAUUAUUUUUUUUUUCAAAAAAUAAGUUUUUUUAUUAACUUAAUCACCAAUAUGCCAUUUCUAGUCUUGAAUUUAAGUAAUAGGAGACUCUCAUGGCAUAACAGUUAGUGCCAUUUCAAGUCUCAAUUAUUAUCUUUAACAGAGUAGAUUUAAAUAGUAUACUGCUAGCGAAAUAUGCAAAUCCUAAUUCACAUAUGCUCAUGUUCCUCUUAAAAUGUUCAAGAAAUUAAUGAAGAAGUUGAUGUUGCUAGAGAAGGAGCUUUUGUAGUAUACUUUUCAUUUAUAGAUUUUAGGUUUGAAAUUUGGAAAGUACGUCUUAAAAUUUAUGAGAUGAAAGAAAAAUGAGUCUUUAUCUAAAAUCCAAAAAACAUAUAUAAUUUAAAACAAAGACUAAAACGAUAAUCAUUGAGAUUAGAAUAAGGGUGGGAAAUAUAUUUUUUUUAUAAAUUACAUAAAGGAAUAGUAAUUACUUUUCUUUUUUCUCUCCUAGUUCUUUCAUCGCAAAUGCUUGUAUCAUUUUCACCUGAUAUUUCUAGUCAAACUAGAGAAAGUUGAUCGGAAAUUUCCCCAGGUAGACCAAUACUAAUUUGACUGACUUUGUUGGCAUCAUAACCAAUGAGUUACCAACGGCGUUUCCUAUAUGAUGGGUGGUUUUCCAUACAAAGAAUGCAAACAUUAUUAGUUCCAAUAUCAUAUUGGAGAACUGUGUCUUCUAGCCAUUAAGAAUGAAUAUCGGCAAUUCUUGGCUGCUAAUUUCGUGCGUGUUGAUCGUUGGCAUCCUACUUUCACAUGAUACUCACAUGAUAGUGGCCACUGAAAGUGUUUCUGGUUCUUCCGUUGAUGAAAUUCCUUCGCAUGACUUUCCAUUUAAGUUCAAUGUUGUGUCCAGAGAGAAAGCCUUAAAGCCUGACCCACCACCGCCUCCGCCGCCUACGGGUGGUCCUUCCAUUCAUUCAAAAUGACUGUCUUCACCACCAUCACCAUUGUCACCACCUAUUUCAACUUAGGUUGUAAUUGUAACCUGCCGAUGCCAAACAAUAAGAACAUGUCAUUGUUUGCCUGACGUAGAUGGUCAUAUUGUGGAACUUUUAUUUCGAGUUUGGUUUUUUUUUUU
rnacentral:lncRNA from 1 species